AAUUUAUAUCGCCACAAAACCUAGAUGUUGAUGAUCUUUGGGAGUUUCAACGAUUUUAAUAGAUUUUGGGAUAAAAGUACUACGUUUUAAAUACGGCUUAAGUGGAGGGAGAUGUAGUACAGCAAAAUCCUGGUGCGAUUCAUCAAUAAAAAUAUGUAGUCGAUAAAUUGCAUUUGUAAUCAUGACUUAGAUUUUUUUCAAAAUUAUCCUAUCUAUAGUAAGACCGGGUUGCGGAAUAAUCUAGAAUUUAACGUUUUAGUUUCUUAUAGCACAAUAUUAUUAAGAAUAACGCACCUGAACUAAUAAGAAUGAAUAUGAACUAUAAAAUUAUGGGCAGAUGGCAGUUACUCAAUAAUAUUGUUUCCUUUAAAAUAAAUUCGUUUUGCAUUCGUUACAUAUGUACUGUUGGUACUUAAAUUAUAUGCAAUACAUUACGGACUUAUUGUGAAUUUUCAUGGCUUCCAGUCGGUACCACUGUCUAGCCUAUAUCAAUUACGAAGCAUUGGUGCCUUCGGUUUGGUGGGUUGUCGAUUUACGCGGAUACUCGCGUGAUUUACGUAACGCACCCCGCCUCAGUGCACUUUACACUUUUGCAGCUCUGCUCGCACGAACGACUAUUAAUUGAUAUCCAACGAGACAGCUCCACUGGACUCCGUGAGUUGUUCCAUGAAAAUUCUGAAAACAAAUAACUAACUACUAAGAGACAGAAGCAGAUGGAGAAAGAUCGUGCAAGAGAAAGUGAUACAGAAGGGUGGGCACGACCCUCAGUAUUGAGGAAUACGACACAAGGAGGAAGAGGAGGAAUAUACUUUCAUUUUUUUCCACUAGUUAGGAAAAUAUGGUUAAAUUGUGAAAUAAUUACAAAUCCUCAUGUAUCGAAUGAUCAAAUGAAAAUACUAAACAAUGCUCUGGAUUUAGUGGCAAAUCGCUAGUGUUUUUGAAAAUAAGUACCUAAUUAAGUAUCCAACCAGAUUUUGCAGAACAUUAUUAGUCUGAAUCGAUUUUCUUGUUAAACUCAAAUACAAAUAUGGAAUGUGAAGCGUGUACAUUGGAUGUAGAGACCGAGCGGACUAGAUAUGUCUUCGUCACAAUUUACAUAAAUGAUAUAUGUGAUCCGCCUAAUGCUGUGCAGUGGUCAUUUAUUAAGCUGUAAGAAGGCCAAGUUGUGCUCGUCCCGCCGCAUAGCACGCAUGCCGGGCCGCAUACGUCGACAGCGCUGCAGACAUCGGACCACACUGAAACGGACACAAUACUAAGGCCUCAUCAUGAAUGAAUGCCAUCUUUGUUUCUGGGUCGACCUGUUGACACAUGUAAAUGUGCUCGAACACACGAUCGAGAUAAAAAUUUUCAAGUUAUCUUCAUCAAAAUUCUUUGUUGAGACCACAUUCUUUCAAAGAUGAUACAAUUUUUUUUUGUGCAAAAUUUAUAUGUGAAUCUCAACAGUUUGUUUGUGUCCACGUGUAAUCGCACACGCCCUUCUGAAGUCGGUGGUCGAAGUACGGGUGGUCUCUAUGCGUGCCUCCCGCGGGCGGCGUCAGCUUCACACAUCUAUGAGCUCUUUCACCGAAACGAAACGAUUAAAACUCAAAUAGAUUUUAUCUCUCUAGUCAUAAGAUACAAUUUCGUUCGAGACAAUAACGUUUAGAUGUAACCUUUUCAAAUAGUCGUUGCAUCGAGCAACUCAUUAAACAUGAUAGCGGGUCUACCGAAAGUAAAGAUUUGGUCAUAAUAACGGAUGGGUGUUAAUUGCUAUCCAUAAGGCGUCAAUAAUUGUUUUUUAGCCACUAAUGGCAAUGGAAGUUCCGGGUUUUGAAAGUUUUUGUACAGUGUAAUCAAGCCGUAAUCAGCGGUUUGGUUGGAGCGUGUGAGCUACUCACGACGAGCGCUCUUCUUUGUAGAAAAAUUAUUGUUUUGGUUAUUCUAUUCGGGCGCGAUUUUGACGAGUCGUGUGCGCAUGAAGACAUUAAAGAUCUAUUUGAACGCCUCUGUGUGGGCAAUCAUCACCAUAAUGUUCGUUCAAAUUAUGAGCAGCAUGCAGCUUACGCUUCCUGUUCUAAAACUAAUUGAUUUUCAGAAUUCAUUGAUUUAUAUUGGAUAUUUUUUUUUAGUCCAACUAUUUGAUAAAUUCGAAAUGCUAGCAGAGGAAAAUUGUUUUUUGUUUUUGGAACGAAGUUCCUUAUAGGACGAUGCGGAGGGAAUCCACCCUA